rnacentral:rRNA from 1 species
UACGGAGGGUGCAAGCGUUAUCCGGAUUCACUGGGUUUAAAGGGUGCGUAGGUGGGCUGGUAAGUCAGUGGUGAAAUCUCCAGGCUUAACUUGGAAACUGCCAUUGAUACUAUCAGUCUUGAAUACCGUGGAGGUCAGCGGAAUAUGUCAUGUAGCGGUGAAAUGCUUAGAUAUGACAUAGAACACCAAUUGCGAAGGCAGCUGGCUACACGAAUAUUGACACUGAUGCACGAAAAGCGUGGGGGAUCAAACAGGGAUU